CGACAAUAUCGCAUCGGGUAAAUGACGAGCGCCAUUUCUGGUGGUAAACGUUCAGUCGAGAGUUUUUAGGGAUGCAACAUCGGUCUCUGAAAUCCGAAUAUGAUUGGCAACGCCGAGUUAGGAAUUGCUUUUGCCAGAGAAUACUAACAGUCUGCGGCAUUAUUGUUUUCGUGAAAAACUUGGGUUGUGGUCAAAACUUUAAGGGAAAGAAUGGAUAUGUACGAGAUGAAGCGCUUCUUUUUGCGCCAAGGAAGAAGAGGGCAAUGAUAUCAAAGAAAUCGGGACAUAUCACUCCAAGACAAAUGAAAUCCAUAACGGAAAUCAUUUACGAUUUUUUUAUUAUGGAGAAGAGACGACCUAUUUUAAAACGUAUUAGGCAAAAAAUAUUAGACAGAUAGGCGUUGGUUCUUUUAGGCCAAAUGGGCUUCAAGUAGGUUAUUUAAUAAUAUAUUAAUUAAACAUUACAAAUAAAGAUAAAGAUACCAUGAUUUUGCAAGUGGCAAAAAACAGAAGAUCAACGCAAACAGGAUACCUACUUUUAUAGAGAACUGAAUACUCCGAAUUGUGUUUUGGAUUCCUCAUCGAACGUAAGAGUGAUUUUGUGUAAAACUUCUGGGGUGGUUUAGAAUGUCAGCCAUUUUAUGAAAAUAUGUUUAACAAACAAACAACAAUUUUUAAUUUAGAGAUAAUCCAGGCAUCAUCAAACGUACGGCCUUGCCGUUCGAAAUACCUCAGAAUAAGAUGGAGAACACGAAGCGACUUUAUUCCCGAAACGUGCAACUCUCCGAAUAUUAAAUUCCCGACUUUCUUGGCCUGCCGGAAAAUUUGCUUAACCAUCUUUUAAUUAAAAAUGUCAUUAACUCGUUAAAUCGGUUAUUAAAACUUUUGCGGUAAUAUCGUGCCGCGCGGUUGGCGUUGAUUUGAUUUUAUCUCGAAAUUUAAUUUCGUCAGUCUGACGGGGUUAAAAAUUAAGAGCAUCUGGAAAAACCUGUAACAAGGUGUCCCGGAUAAUAUCCCCAGAUAAAGUUAAAUUUAAAUGCAAAUUAUUUUUGGUUUCAGAGUAUGUUCUAUAUUGAGUAUAGGAUAUCCCCGUUUUGGUUAGUUUUGGUUAGAUGUGAUUUUGAUGCAUAAUGCCGUGAAGCUAAGAAAAGUAAAUUAUCAAAGAUGGACUAAGAAAUAAUGUAAGCAAAGCAAAUUCUUUGAUUUUAGUAUUUUUUCCUUCCAAGCACAUUUAUUGAAAUUUUAAAUUUAUUAAAUUAAAUUGAAUUAAAAGAAAUAUUAAAAUAAAAAAGAAUCUCAAAUACUUGUUAGUUCACCUUUAAAAUAACUUAUUUUUGUUAGCUUUAGAGCAAUUAAGCAACUUAACUUUUCUCCAAUUGAAAAAGAUACAUAUAGAAGGAAAUCAUAUUAUACAGUUAAUAUUAUGUCAAAAUUAUAGUUAAUUCUUCAACGAAGCUUGAACGCAUUGGUCGAGAAUCUCUGAAAUCUAAAACAUCGUAAUUCUAAAAGCAGAUAAAAGAAAUGGUGGUCAUGAGCACAAAGAAAAAAAUUCAAAGAUAUAUUAAAAUGGUUGUCUGGAGCAUAUUUUUCUUGUAACGGUCAAAUUUAUGAACAAACGUCGGGAACAGUUAUGGGUUCUCUAAUAUCACCAGUCAUCGCCAAUGUAUUUAAGGUGAGCCUUUGAGGAGAAAGCCCUCUACACAUUCCAUCUAAAACCAAAAUUACUACAUUAGAGAUAUUAAGCAUUCUACCAUAAAAACACAACCUUCCAAAGACAAUCCGAAUGCAACCCCAUACUUGCAAAUAUUGUCCCUAUUUACAUUCAAAACAUCACAUCCACGUAUCAAAAGUUCUUGAGAAAUAUAACGUUAAAAGUAGACUUAUCACUUGUCCAAAAAUCUCACAUCUUCGAUCCGUCAAAGAUAAAAUUCCAUUUGAGAAAUUACGAGUUUACAUCAUUCCUUGCAAAUGGAGGAACAGGACGAAAAAUAUCAACUAUGCUCAAAAACCAUAAAAGAGCCUUAAAAGUACAACAAAUAAACUCGUCAGCAGUUGCAGGACAUAACCAUGAAAUUGCACAUCAAAUUUUCCACCAAGGAAAAAUCAGAGAAUCCAUGGAAGUCUUUAUCUAUAUAUAGAAAUAUAUAAGUAGAAUAUUUGGAAAUAUAUCGUUUCAGUUCUUUACUUCAACCCUAAUCAUCCAAUCGGGUUAUACGAAAUCAACUUAAAGCCACAAGAAAUGAAGGUAAUCUUGAAGUAUAUACAUUGGUCUUUGUUUAAAAGAUAUUCGCUGUUAAACAAUUUUUAGGAAGUUGUGUUCGAAGAGAAGUCAUAAAAUUUUUAAAAUGUAAUUUUUUGAGAGCAAUAUUUGAAGAAUAUACUCUAUCAAACAUGAUGAAUAGUAUCGAUCUAAACAAAUUAUAAACAUAAACACAUAGAUAUAGAGGCCAUCGGAACCAUAAAAUUCCUUUUAAAAUUCUCGUAACCAAACCGGAUCAAAUCCACGCCACUGAAUUGUCCCGAACUAAAAUAACUCUAAUGGGUUCACGAGGUAAACAUUCCAAACGGAAAACAACUCCACCCCUCAUUGAACACGGCGGAUAAUAUACUGUUUUUGAAAUCAUAUUUUAUCUAUUGUUCGAAAUAGAACACGCAUUAUUCUAACACAUGUUUGGACGUCAGUUGUCGUGUUGCUUGUUUGACAUGCUUUAUCGAUAAGAACACAGGAAAGACAAACAAAAAGUCGCUGAGUGGGGGGCUGGGGGAGCGGUUCGUCAAACACUUCGUCGGGGAUUAUCCGGCCGUUGAAAUUUCUUCCCGGAAAGUUCCGAUGGUUAAGCUCCUUUGCGUCUGCUACUAAAGGUUAUAAUUACCAUUGUUAAAGCGACCGACAGAUAGAUCGCUUAUACCGGGUGAACCAAAUUAAGUGUAGCUCCGAAGAUUAGCAAAGUAGUAGUACUUUUCACGCUAAUUAAUAUGGAUUAUGGAACCUAUAAUAAAUUAAAUGAAUGCAAUUUUCCAUAUGAACUAUUGUUAUUUUAUUUUUUUUUGUCUUUUCACAACUUUUGUUGGGUCCUUUUUCACCAUGGAACAAUCGGGAUUUUGCUCGUCAACGACUCGUCCAUGCGCCAUUACCCUUCGGACUAUGUUGCACGUGCCCAGUAUUGUCGCCUUCUGCCCCAGCGUGGUAAUUUUCUUGUGGUUUUCUAUGCCCAAAAGUUGUAAACACUUUGCUCUUUUCCACAAUUCCGUUUGCAGAGAUUGGAAUUAUGGAUACUUUUGCAAGUUUGUAUAUGCCCUUUAGCUCGUGUGCUAAAUCUUGAUAUUUAGUAAUUUUAUCGGUCCUUACCUUAGACAUAUUUUCGUCCAAUGGGAUGCUCACAUCAAUCAGAAACCCCUCUUUCUUCUGCUUGUCGACAACCACUAUAUCUGGUACAUUGUGUCUUACCUGCCGAUCAGUUGUACGUACCUUGUACGUUUCGUUUUCGAUGACAUUUUGCGGUAAGUAUAUGCUGAUGGAUAAUCACUGCAACUUCAUUAUGCCGCUGAAGGUAAUCUUUUGGCGCUAAAUAACUACACGCCGAUAUUAAAUGCUGAAUCGCUUGUUUUAGUAAACAUUUUUUGUAAUUUCGCGUGUGAACUACUUGGUCCUGUGUAGAGCUUAAGAAACCAUCAGUUUUUGGCCUAAGACAUCCUUGGGUAACAUAUCAUGUGGACAGCCUUAGCAUACCUUCCAUGCAGAGCUUUGUUUUUCCAUUCUUCUUCCAUAUCUUUAAUCGAUGUUUUUGUUUGAGGUCGUUGGCGGGCAGCGAGGUUCAGUGGAGAGGCACUUUCGUCUAUGCGUCUAUGGAUGGAUGAAUGGAUGUCUAUGGAUGUGUGAAGUCUAUCGGCGCUGUUUGUGAGGUACAUUCUGCUUGUUGAGGAUUUUUAAUGGUGAGUUCGAUGCUUUGUCAUUAGAACCCUCAUCUCCCGGUCCACUGCUUCCAACUCAGAUUGGCUCCACUUUAUAACACCGAACGUCUGCGAGAAAACCGGCAAAGCCCAGGAGUUGAUUGCAGCGGUUUGGUGCCCCGCGUACAAUUUGGUUUUCAAUAUUUGUUUGACUCGGUUUAAAAGCCUUUCCUUUACUGAUUUUUUUGCUACUGCCUGAUUGGUCUUAAGUACUUGGUUUAUACCUAAAUAUCUAUAGGAUUCUCCUUCCAUCAAAGGGUCAAACUCAGAUCCUUCCAUGAAUUUCAUGCCCUCGUCUGCCUGAAUCUCACCCCGCUUGAAAUUGAUGAACGUUGCACUUCUCUACUCCAAAUUCCAACCGGAUGUCGUUUGUAAAUGUUUACACUAGUGGAACUCAUACCCCCCAAAACGUGGACUAUUAGGACCACAAAAUCCAUUUUGCUCGUUUUUCCCUCUCUUUGAUUUCGAUGUUAGUUUCUGCUGGAGCAGAGAACUUUAUGACAAACAUCGAGUAUUUCACUUAUCCAACAGAACUAAGUCUGGCUGAUUAGCCCGGAGUCAGGUUGUAGUGAGAAAAGCAUAAUUCCAGUAGAUGCGGCAAUUGUUGUUUUCUACCACUGUUUCAAUAUUACCUGGGACGUAUGGGAGCAUUCGUGUUAGUGAAGUAAAGUACCCGAAGAGCCGCGUUAUGCCGGUAAAUGUAGCUCGAAGCCGCUGAUGGCAAAUGCACAAGCAUCUCGGGAUGUUGACGGAAGCACCCGCAGCUAAUGUCAGCGAUGUUAGAGAUUUGACUACGGUAUGUGAGCAGAUCUUAGGAACACGAAAGUGAGCCUCCUAGACAGGUCCAGAGUCUGGAGGUGCCUGUAGAACAAUCCAUGCUGCGGCUUACUGACGUGGUCUUCUAGGAGCUUUUGCUGUUCCGCUCUCUUAAUCUGGGAGUGAGUGCUGGUUAUCUGAAUCCAAUGUGAAUGUGAGCCCUAACGGUCAGCCGCUUUUCUGCUCAAAAGAGGAAUGCUCAGACAUUGGCAGCUUCCUAAUCAUUUGCGAGUCUCGGAAGUGGGUCCACGCUAUUAGCGAUCUUGCAGGCAAUGCCCAAGACAAGCCUGCCAUGCAGACACUCCAGACUUAGAAGACCUCUUCCUCCCUGAUCUCGUGGAAGCUAUAUAUUAUUGUUAUUAUCAUAUUUUCACCUUACCAUCACUGUUUAUUUACCAUACCACGUGCAUACAUGAGCUAAAGGACGAUAUGCCUAAGCACUGUGAUCGCCACAACUACUACAACAGGGGAUCUGAAUCAAUUGUACAAAUAAAUGGUACAUUAAUUAUUUCAAUGUUCUACCAACUGUUGUUGUUAAGAACCUGUCAUACAAUAAAUUUUGUAAAAUAAUAAAACAAUUUAUAUUGGAGUAUGCAUUUUAUACUGCAGAUGAGUAUAUCCGUGUCCGGAGGAGAUGAAAUCUUUCUACAGAUGAUUUUGGGUGGUAAGCUCCGAAACUCCUUUCUGGUUUUGAUGUUUAGGUCGUUAAGCUCUGUUGCGUUCCAAGCAAUGACCCCAUAGCUGUAUGCAACAACCGGUAUUGCAUAGGCAUUGAUGGCACGUGCCCAAUUUCCGGCAGAAAAUUUGAUCGUAGUAUGGAGCGAAGCCUUUGCAAAGAUGAUUUUGUCAGUUGUUUCUUGGAUCUCUUAUGGCCUAUACCCCAUGUUCUGCAAGUAGCCCAAAUACUUAUACUAUUCGUGAACCAUGCCCACUAUUGUUCCAUGAUUUCGAGUGGUCCACUGUGUUAUAAGGUAAAGCGGGGCAAGUGCGAACAAAUGUCCAUAGAUAAUAAUAAACAACUAUGAAAAUUACUUCCUUUAAAUUUACGAGUUUUCGUAUAUUUGUCAUAUUAAUGUGAUUAUUCACUUACAUAUUAGUAAUAUAUAUUUAUUGCAAAUAUAGUAUUUGCCAAUUUUGGGCGCAUGUAUUUUUUAAAUUAUAUGUUACGCACGUUCCCCACUGGUGAAGGACAAGAGCAUAAUAUGUCAUUAUUUUUGCUAUUAAUGCGUUCUGUUCUAGGUGGGGCUAGUACAGAAUACCUACAUAUCUGCAUUUUUUAUUUUUCAUUCAACUAAAAUAAAAAAACAUUAAUUAAUGUUGAACGAAAUAUAUAAAAAAAAUGAAUAUAUUUCUUAUGAUUCAAACACUUUAGGAGCUGUCGCAAAAAUAUACUUUUCGCGAUUAGCCGUUUUUGGUAUUUUUGAGACAGGCAGUGUUUUCUCUAUGUCCGACAGUACGGUGCAGACAUCGUUGCGCUUUAAAAUAAAUUGUGAGCCAUUUUCGGUCUAUUACUUCUGCUUCGUCAUCAUUAACCAAACAGACAUAUUUGCGCACUUUCUUUUUUCCAGAAAAAUUGUUAUCUUUCAGAUAUCUUUGGCUUACAAACUUUUUUAUUUCUUUUUGAUUUAUUUUUUGGUUUACUUUUUUUUGGUUGUAUUCUUAAAAUUUUGUCAAUGUCGGCGCUUGUUAUUACCUCUGCUCCUAAGCACAUCCUUUAAAUUAGCUUUAAAGUUAAAAUAAGACAAAUUUUGUUAAAUUGAUUGUGUCAGAUUUUUUUAUACUAACAUUAAUUAAUAAUAUUUUUUACUGUCACUGGUUUGUUAUUUUCUUUUUUUAUUAUAUCCUAGUUUAAGUUGCCACAAUGUAAUUAAUAUUUAAGAUAAAUUUGUUGAAAGAAUAAAGUAGAAUAAACAUGGGUUGAUUUCAACCACAACCGUCUCGUGUUCUUCGGAUAUUAUUGAAAUAUUUUCUUGUGAGCUUGAACUUGACCCUGCCUCAACGGUGAUGGCACCUUAUUAGGGUUUGUUGAUUAAAAAUAUGGUUUUUUUGUCAACGUUCUUGAGUGAUUUGAAGACUCUCAAAUCAAUGUCAAUAGUCGUGUUUAUCACAUCUGCUCCAAGAUCACUAGCGUGUCCGUCAAAAUUAACUAACAC